rnacentral:lncRNA from 1 species
GUGAGCCGAAAAAGGCAAAACCAAAGCCUCCGCCAGUGCCCUCAAGCCCACCCAGAAAGCAGCAACAAUCGCCGCCAUUACAGCGCCCCCCACCUCCACCUACAGCACCUAAACCAGACAGUAUGAAACCAGCACAUGUGAUGGUUUUCCUGUUAUCCUUUCAACAUUGAUGUUGGACUUUUACAUUGUGUCUCUCUCUCCUUCUACAGUAAAGAGUCACCACAGCCCUCCUCCUAAAAAAACACACCCACCCGCCCCAGCACCUCUCGCUAAGCCUCAGCCCGAACCCACCUCCAACAUCCGUGAGAUCAUCAAACAGUACAACAGCCGACCCCAAGCAGAACCAAAACCCUUUGAGCCCGUCAGACCUACUGCUAGGCAUUUUUCAAAGAAGACUGACCACAGAGAGGAAGCUCUUGCCAAACUGAAAAACAAAGCACCAGUGUCACCUCCUCCCAAGCGUCCAUCUCCACAGCCUUCCCCUCCCUCCACCAGGGCUCCCCGGGUCAUCUCCAACAGCAUGCGGCAGAAGCAGCAGUCCUUGAAAGAUCUGUUUGGCUCCCAGCGCUCGCAGCAGCCUCCGCCUCCUCCCCCCGACUCCCCACCACCUCCACCACAGCCAGCGCCCAUCACUAAAGACAUCCCAGAGCCGCCACCCAUGGCUGCCCCCUCCCUCAACAUGAUGCCAGAUGAGGAGGGCGUUCAGUCCAAGCUCCACCGCUUCUCUGCUGGUGUCUACUUCUCUUACUCCAACAUGCCAGGAAAACUGUUCCUGCGAAAAGAAGUAAGAAAUGCAAAUGCACACAUAAACCAAGGAUACAACACAGUUGUAUUC